GAUGAAGAACGUAGUGAAAUGCGAUACGUAAUGUGAAUUGCAGAAUUCAGUGAAUCAUCGAGUCUUUGAACGCACAUUGCGCCCCCUGGUAUUCCGGGGGGCAUGCCUGUCCGAGCGUCAUUGCUGCCCUCAAGCACGGCUUGUGUGUUGGGCCUCCGUCCUCCUCCCGGGGGACGGGCCCGAAAGGCAGCGGCGGCACCGCGUCCGGUCCUCGAGCGUAUGGGGCUUCGUCACCCGCUCUUGUAGGCCCGGCCGGCGCUUGCCGACACAUCAAUCUUUUUUCCAGGUUGACCUCGGAUCAGGUAGGGAUACCCGCUGAACUUAAGCAUAUCAAUCGGAGGA
rnacentral:misc_RNA from 1 species